CAGCAGCCACGGUAAUACGAACCGUGCGAACGUUAUUCGGAAUUACUGGGCUUAAAGCGCGUGUAGGCGGGCCGCCACGUCGGUUGCUGAAAUCCCCCGGCUCAACCGGGGAAGUGGCAUCGAUACGAGCGGCCUUGAGGGGGGUAGGGGGAUCUGGAACUUCCGGUGGAGCGGUGAAAUGCGUUGAGAUCGGAAGGAGCGCCCGUGGCGAAAGCGAGGUCCUGGACCCUUUCUGACGCUGAGACGCGAAAGCCAGGGGAGCGAACGGGAUUAGAUACCCCUGUAGUCCCUGUCUCUUAUU
rnacentral:rRNA from 1 species